rnacentral:rRNA from 1 species
UACAGAGGUCUCAAGCGUUGUUCGGAUUCAUUGGGCGUAAAGGGUGCGUAGGCGGCGCGGUAAGUCGGGGUGUGAAAUCUUGGAGCUUAACUCCGAAACUGCAUUCGAUACUGCCGUGCUUGAGGACUGGAGAGGAGACUGGAAUUUACGGUGUAGCGGUGAAAUGCGUAGAUAUCGUAAGGAAGACCAGUGGCGAAAGGCGGGUCUCUGGACAGUUCCUGA